rnacentral:rRNA from 1 species
AGAGUUUGAUUCUGGCUCAGAUUGAACGCUGGCGGCAGGCUUAAUACAUGCAAGUCGAACGGUAGCAGCAGGAAGGCUUGCCUUCUGGCUGACGAGUGGCGGACGGGUGAGUAAUACCUGGGAAACUGCCUAUAAGAGGGGGACAACACCUGGAAACGGGUGCUAAUACCGCAUAAGCCCUGAGGGGAAAAGGAUGGGAAACCAUGCGCUUAUAGAUGUGCCCAGGAGGGAUUAGCUAGUUGGGGAGGUAAAGGCUCACCAAGGCGACGAUCUCUAGCUGGUCUGAGAGGAUGAUCAGCCACAUUGGGACUGAGACACGGCCCAAACUCCUACGGGAGGCAGCAGUAGGGAAUAUUGCACAAUGGGGGAAACCCUGAUGCAGCCAUGCCGCGUGUUGUGAAGAAGGCCUUCGGGUUGUAAAGCACUUUCAGCGGGGAGGAAGGCUAGAGCUCCAACAGGGCUAAUAGUCGGACGUUACCCGCAGAAGAAGCGCCGGCUAACUCCGUGCCAGCCGCGGC